rnacentral:tRNA from 1 species
GCUGGCGUAGCUCAACUGGUAGAGCACUCGACUUGUAAUCGAACGGUUGUGGGUUCAAGUCCUACCGCCAGCA